rnacentral:lncRNA from 10 species
CGUGUGGACAAAUCGGGAGGUGGUGUAAACUGGUUUUUGGUGAAAUUCGGCUCGGCCUCAUGCGAACCUAUCUAGGUCCGUCUCUGGAGUGGCCUGUCAUCGAUCGCGCCCUCCAUCGCUGAGCGACACAAGUGGAACCCCCCAGGACUGCAUUCUGCGAAACUACCCUGCUUUUCCCCCAGUUUUGGUCUGUGAACACAUUUGGGAAAUUCUUCUGAUCCUACCGCUACUCUCUUGAGAGAGAGAAACAAGGGAAAAAAAAGUUAAUUGCCUGAGGAUAUACUGCUAGUGUUGCGGGACAAAUAGAGACGGGAGAGGCCAAACAGAAUUCAGGACAACCCUUUAUUAUUAAGCGCGCUAGGGAGGGAAGCAGGAACUCGUGGUGCCUCAAGGAACGUGAAACGGUGGAACACAGAUAAGCCUCUCCGUGCGUAGAGGAGAAAUAAGCGGUU